UACGUAGGGUGCGAGCGUUAAUCGGAAUUACUGGGCGGAAAGCGUGCGUAGGCGGUUCGUUAAGUUCGUUGUGAAAGCCCCGGGCUCAACUUGGGAAUGGCAAUGGAAACUGGCGGGCUGGAGUAUGGCAGAGGGGGGUGGAAUUCCGCGUGUAGCAGUGAAAUGCGUAGAGAUGCGGAGGAACACCGAUGGCGAAGGCAGCCCCCUGGGCCAAUACUGACGCUCAGGCACGAAAGCGUGGGGAGCAAACAGG
rnacentral:rRNA from 1 species